AUUUGUAGCAGGCCACUGCAGAUAUUCACAGACAGACAGACUAAACAGUUUAUUUUCCACUAAUCCUCGGUACUUGAAAGCCACGUACCCUGUUGUGUAAUUUUGGAAGGUAAUAUAUAACCCACAUGCACAUACAUAAAGGGGCAGAAAUAGGGAAUAGUGAAAGAGAUGUCAUGCUAGAAAUGUCAUUUUGGGGUACAAGGCACUUAAGCAUUUUUUGGAGGGUGGGCUGGGGGGGGGGGGGGGGGGGGGUGCCCAGGGGAUUAGAGGCAUUAGGAUUAGAUUUAAUCAAGUGAUAUGAUGAAGGGCGGUGGAUUUAGAGGAAAAAAACAAAGGCAAGUGUACCUGUAUCCUUCAAAACGCUUUCGCUUUCCAAUUCUCUCUCUCGCUCUUUCAAUCUAACAAAUGCUUUCUCUCGGCUAUCUGCUAAUCUGGCACUUCAUCGUGCUUCUGCCUCUGUCCGUCUGUGAAAUCACAGACAUGGCAGAUCACGCAAGCAUUUAAAGAAGGGAUUAAGUAGUUAAGGGACUUACCCGUGGGGGUUUUUUUGUGGGUUUUUUAUUCCUAAUUUUUUUUAAUGAUUUUCUUUUUUGGGCUGUGACAUUAUGAAGGUGCUUGUGGAGUGUGUGCACUUUAAAGAAAACACUGCCCUGCUGUGCUCUUCUUUUUUCACAUGACAAUAUGAGAAUGUUUGGGGGGAUUUCAGAGCUAUGUCACUUUUUUCGUGCGUGUGAGCGUGUUUUUUGUUUUUCUGUGUUUCGGAUUAUUCUUUUUUUCCUUUUUAUUUUUUUGUUUGUCCGUCGCUGGUGUGCAUGGUGUUCCUGAUUGUGUGCGAGUGGGAUCAAGGCGGCACUUCGUGACUGCAGCUUUGUUGAUUUUCGCGACGAUAAAGACCCCCUGUGGCGCUCAGUGUAGCGAGAGCCAACACUGAGAUUCCACUCAUCUGGACCCCGUGGCGCACCAUACACAUCACAUGAGGAGUGCGUGUGUGUUUUUAAGUGAGUGUGUGAGUGUAGAUGUGGACAUGUGCAUGAAUAUUUCCUACUUCUUCGACCAUCGCACUCAUGUGCAUGCCUCGGUGAAUGAAUAUCUUCUUCUAUUUCAGCUUACGUGUGUGUGCAUGUGUGUGUGUGUGUGUGUGUGUGUGUUUGUAAGUGUGUGGAAAAGCAAGAAGGGAGGGGUGGUUGCAGUCACAAGGCACAAAGGGGGGUUGGGAGCUGUGAAUAGCAGAGAGGAGAAAAGAGAGUGACCAGAAGGACCAGGGAAGGGGGGGAGGCGGGAUCUGCAGAGUGGAUGAAUGAAAGCACAGCAAGGGACAAAUUAAAAUAAAUCGAAGACCUGGUGACCUCAAAGGCCAUAGCACAUGAUUCCCAUCAUUUUCAUACUUUGAAAAGCAAUCAGUAACGCGAGGACACUGUAAACCUGGAUGAGACGAUUCCCAUCAGGAUAAAAAUAUUCCAUCACAGGAUAACUGUGAUCACUUCAGUAAAAUGUGCACCACAGCAAAUCAGAAAUGCUGAAUCCCCUCACUAAAUAGGGUCAAAGAUUAGGGGUCAGUAUCUGGAUUGUG
ensembl:lncRNA